rnacentral:rRNA from 1 species
AUGGAUCCCUCUCCUGUGACAUUCAAUUUCUCGCAAGGAGCUCCAGCAACUUCUACGCCAACAUCAUGGAAGAACACCGCCGGUGCAUCAUCUUCAUCAUCAUCUGUCCCCUGCAGUCCACCAUCUGUACGAGAUCCACGGAUGCACACUUCCGUCCUCACCCCACCGCCAGGACUCCAACCGGGUGACAUGGUCACCCCUGAUAAAACCCAAACCUACAGUCCGCGUGAAGAUAUUUCCGAAGACAUCGUUCCUAAACUGCUGCAAUGCUUUGCUGACGAGAAAGAAGCUUACGAAUUUUAUGUCCGCUACGCAAGUCAUGCUGGAUUUGAUGUUCGCAAGAGUCGCACAAAAAAGACGGUGCGUGAGUUUUGCUGUUCCCGUGAAGGGCAUGCACCCCUACCAAAUCACGACGAAGAACGCAAGCGAGCAAAGAUGUCGAAGAGAACAGGCUGUCGAGCCUUUGUCAAGCUAAGGAAAAAUCUGAAAGAUGGAUCUUUUCAAAUUGAGAGGCUAGUUCAAGAACACAACCAUCCUCUUGUAUCCACGCCCUCCCAACUUAAGUUUAUGAGGGUACACAAAAACUUUGAUCCUUCAUUAAUGUUGUUCGUCGAUCAUUUGCAAGCCGCAAAAGUAAAACACAAGUCUAUGAUCAAUUUGCUCUCAGACAUGCAUGGUAGCCGAGAUAAUAUUCCUUUUCCGGACAGGGACUUGGAGAAUAGGACAAAUGAAAGUCGUUGGCACACGUCCACAGAAGUUCCCCCUACGGCUGGGUUGCAAAUUACUAUCCAUCCUGCUGCAGCCUCAUCAUCGGAGCACUCUGUAGCACAAGAAGCGGCUCACAAUACAGUUGCAGAGGAGUGUCCGGCACAGGCGGUACCGGGUCAACAAACUAAUCCUAAUAACACAUCAACAUCUCACACUUCAACGGGGAUCCCCCCGUUGGUUUCACCCAUUGUUGCUGGAGGGAACACUUCGGUCGGUUCCAAGAGGUCGGCUGCAACAACAUGCAACCGUUCCAACUCCCAUCAAUAUGAAAAUGACGAUGAUGAUUUUGACCCCCCGCCACCUAGAACUGCUCUUACCCGGAGGACCGACCCGCCAGUCAAGCGGCCAAAGGUAGCUAAAGCUAUAUCAUCCACCGCCGGUCAUAAUGGAAACCAACCAUCAAAACCGGCACCAACCAUUAGGUGCUCACCUGGAUUCGUGCUCUCUGCCAUUGAUCUAUUAACCGAAGAUCAAUAUGCAAAUGUCAAGGCUACUCCAUUUGGUGAAAUUCUGAACCUAAAAGCUGAUGCUCUUGAGUCCAGGAAUUUGCCGGUAUUCCUUAUGAACAAGACUGACAAGGACACUCUAAUAAUCAACGUCGGCACUCAAGGUGGACUGAAAAUUACCCCGCAUGCUGUGCAUUGUGUCAUGGGCACUCCACUUGGUGGUCGUGACCCAUCGGUCUGUUCUGUCACCCAAAAGAAUGAGCUGCUUAGACUCAAGAACGAGCUGAGCGUGCCAGUCGAUCAGAAUAUAACCUACAAAACUCUGUGCGACUAUAUAAAGUUGAAGAGGCCUGAUGAUUUGUCCACAAGAUGUUUCAUUCUGAUUAUAUUCAACUGGUUACUCUUUCCUUCCACAAGGACAUAUAUAUCUGGUAGGGAGGCUGCUUGGACUGCAGACAUUGCUAAUAUUGGUGCGAUCGAUUGGUCCAAAGCUGUUGUUGAUUACAUGAGGGAUAGUGUUGCAACAUGGCACUCCAAGAAGAACAACAAUGGAGUAUUGUCCAUUUCUGGUUGUGUGCUCUUUUUAAUAAUUUACUAUUUGGACAAUCUCCUGAGUGUCAAUAUGUUGGAUGCGUCUCAAACACCACGCAUAGCUUUCUACAACACUGGGAAGAUGCAAGCUAUCUUAAGUGAGGAUAAGUCGAAGAACAAGCCAGACUCGGAGUCAUAUGGCAACCUACCGCUUCGGUCCCAGGAGGCUUUUGCUACUUUUCUUGAUGGCCCAGCAGAACGGUCGAUUCAUGACAUUCCUGCUGCUACAGACAAUAUUGAAGUUGAUGGCACCAGUAUACAAUCCGAAGCCGACCGCAGUGUUCAGCGAAACGAUGGUGUGGAUCCCAGCAAGAAUCUUCCAUCGUCAGCAGAUGGCCCACUGCAAGGUUCUCUUACCCAACUGCUCCAGGGUAAUAUCGAAGCUUCUACGACCAAGUCCCAGCAAGAAAGCUUGCUUACCGCAUUUUAUGGACCUUAUGACAAAAGUGAAAAUGAUUGCACAAGUAACCAGCCCAAUAAACCUCAUCAAACAGUUGAGCCACACAAUACUGUUGACUCUAUGAACAACCUUCCACCACCAGACAAACAACAUGGCUCUGACAGCCACUCAAAAACCGAUUGCCCUACUCAUGCUGCUAACUGUUCUGAUGUGGAUGCGCAAGGAAUCACCGAUCCCAUUACGUUUUCUCAAAUGUGUGAAGGCAUUGAAUAUGAUGGAACUGGAUGCCCCUCAUGUGAUGCAGACGCGCGUCUUAUUAAUGAGGUGCACCUUGAUGACCUAGGCCAUGAGCAUGAAGAAGAAGCUGAGAUAGCUCCAACUAACACUGAUGCAGAAAACUUGGGGGUGGGUGUGUCAGACGUAUUCACGGGCCAAAAGUUUGUCAAUGAGGCACAAAUCGAUGCAGAAGCUGCUGAUCACACAGAGCAGGUCUCAAAAGAUGGUCAUUUAUCUGUGGAUGCACCAAUAAUUACUGGUCAAGUCCCAGUUAACCAUGACAAUGAUGCUGAUCGCCAAAUUACUGUCCAUGAACCAAUUAGCCACACAGAACAGUGUACCACCGCAGAGCAAUUUCAGUUGGAAGAUGCCAACACACCUGAAUCCUUAGUAUCCUUCGGUCAGCCAACACAAGAAUGGGAAGUUAGCCAACAACUUCGAGAUGCUAAUAUUCACCCAGACAGAACCCCCCAUUUUGAUACUAGAGAGCCAUCCCACAAAGUGUGUAUUAGGAGUGGCAGUGAAAUCAUCAAAUUACCUCACACUGGAGCGGAGGCUCAACCUACCAACCUACAGCAGUCUGCCUCCACUGCACAACAGGCUGCCCACACUAUCCAGGUCUCUGAUGCAUCUGCUCUACAGCUGUCUCCCAGGCGCUCGGCGAGAUUUAAAAAAACAGAUGUUUCUACGGAAAAACAUACACUUGUUCGCACCGCCAAGAACAUGGAGAAGGACAAAACCAAUGUCCCAAGCUUUGUGAACCCCAACCAAUUCGGAGCUCCUGGAAAUGUUCUGCAAUGCGGUCAACUACCAGUUAUCGUAAAGAGGAUCAGGAAGAGACCAUUGAAGAUCAUUUCUCCAUUUAAAUUACAUCCUGUUAAGUCUACCAUUUCUCUCAACCACGCCCGAAAACUCCGUGACAUAGUAAUCAACGACCUUGAUCUCAAAAAGACUGGACUUCUUGCUUACGAACCUUCUAAGUUAUAUCUUACUGGCAUGGAUCUCGCAAAAAGCUUCGGCGAUGGGGCAUCAAUGCUACCCAGCUUGAUGGAAUACUACAUAGACAUUCUGCGUCACGAUGAGAUUAAAUUAAGGCCCACGUCGGCUGGGUACAGGAUGUUCCUUCGUUGGUCACUAUCGUUCCACCUUAAUGUCGAUGCUCGGCACGAGACGCAAUCCUUCAAUCCUACUUUCAUUGAGGCACUAUUAAAGGAAGACCUCGCGGAUAAAGACCCUCAAGAUGUUCGCAUGGAGAAGUUUAGUGAUUACAGGUCGGAGGAGCUUGCAUACAUGGUGGCACAAUCGAUGGCUGCAAUUAACACCAUGCACCAUAUAUGUUUCAUCAGAGCUCCCAAGUGCAUGCAAGCCAUGCCUCCUUCAGCCAUUAGGCCUCCUCGCAAGCCAUCCGCCAUGCCACGGCUAUACUGCGCCUGUGGCACACACGCCCAGAGGCUCGUGCAACUCGUUGGAGCUAACGAGGGGAGGUUCUUCUACCAGUGCCCCUAUUGGGAUGAUCCAUCGGCUGCAGCCUGCAACAUCUUUAUUUGGGAAGAUAUUCUGGACAAUUACGUUAACCAGAACCAGUGGCAUCUUGAUCUGAAGGUGGCCUUCGAUGCUGCAGACAAUGCCAAGGCACAAACCAUCAAAAUUGCUAGACAGAUGAAGCUGUCCCUUGCUUUUGCCAUUGCCGCUCCUGUUUUUACUUUUCUCAUGUUUUACUACCUAGCUUGA